AAAGUCGUAACAAGGUUUCCGUAGGUGAACCUGCGGAAGGAUCAUUAACGAAUAGAACAAAGCCCUCCCUCGUGGCUGAUGCUGGCUCCUCGGAGCGCGUGCACGCCUCGUCGGGGGCGACUUCAUUCGCCUUCACCCCCUUGUGCACUCCAUGUAGGUCGUCGAUGUGGGCCCACGCCUCUCGACGCCUACGAGCUCGUCUUUGUACGCACCUCGAUCGCAUGUCUGUGUGUAAACUUUUCGAUGUGAUAACACGAAACACAACUUUCAACAACGGAUCUCUUGGCUCUC
rnacentral:misc_RNA from 1 species